rnacentral:rRNA from 1 species
AGGGUGUAGACGCUGCAGACUUGGUGUUGGAGGCCCUUUGGGGGCAUUCAGUGCCGGAGAGAAGUUGUUAAGUCUGCUACUUGGGGAGUACGUCCGCAAGGAUGAAACUUAAAGGAAUUGGCGGGGGAGCACCGCAACGGGAGGAGCGUGCGGUUUAAUUGGAUUCAACACCGUAAAACUCACCAGGGAAGACUGUUACAUGAAGGCCGAGAUGAAGACUCUGCUAGAUUUUCAGAGAGGUGGUGCAUGGCGUCAGUGACU